GGGGCCGCAAUGGUUUCGACAGGGAUUCUGAGGUAUGAUAAGCGUGGCGGGCUGGGUAAUCCCGUAUAAUGCCUAACUUAAAAAAUAAACGACAACAAUACUGUUGCUAUGGCUGCCUAAGUUUGUCGCCUAAGGCGAUAAACUUAGCAGUGCCGCGGCGUCUUUACGCCGCCCGUUCCUCCGCGGAGUACCGCGACCGUGGACUGAACGUCAUUGAGCGGUGAACCUGCAUCGGUGGUUCGCACUUGAGCCGAUCAGGCAUAAAAGGGCUACCUUGGGCGAGGGCCUGUUUGCCGGCACCGUCCCAGGGGAACUAACGUAGGCAAACUGCCCACGGAGAAGGUUGUAUCAAGGGGUUUUUGGACACGGGUUCGAUUCCCGUCGGCUCCACCA
rnacentral:tmRNA from 1 species